UGAAUACGAGACGCUAAGGCGUCGAAGUAGUGUAUGUCAUACUUCCAAGAAAAGCUUGCACUGUCAUAGAUAAAAAACGCCUGUACCAUAACCGACACAGGUGGGUAGGUAGAGUAUACUAAGGGGCGCGAGAUAACUCUCUCUAAGGAACUCGGCAAAAUAACUCCGUAACUUCGGGAGAAGGAGUGCCUUAUUCGUAAGGUUGCAAUAACAAGAUCCAAGCAACUGUUUAUCAAAAACACAGGUCUCCGCUAAGUCGUAAGACGAUGUAUGGGGGCUGACGCCUGCCCAGUGCCAGAAGGUUAAAGAAGUUGGUUAGCAAUUGCGAAGCUGAUAACUGAAGCCCUGGUGAACGGCGGCCGUAACAAUAACGGUCCUAAGGUAGCGAAAUUCCUUGUCGGGUAAGUUCCGACCCGCACGAAAGGCGUAAUGAUUUGGAUACUGUCUCGGAGAGGGGCUCGGUGAAAUAGACUUGUCUGUGAAGAUGCGGACUACCUGCACCAGGACAGAAAGACCCUAUGAAGCUUUACUGUAACUUGAAAUUGAAAUUGGACUUUAUUCGCGCAGUAUAGGUGGGAGGCGUUGAUUAUAAUCUUGUGGGAUUAUUGGAGCCAUCAGUGAGAUACCACUCUUGUAAUGUUAGAUUUCUAACUUUGAAUCAUUAUCUGGUCAAAGAACAGUUUCAGGCGGGCAGUUCGACUGGGGCGGUCGCCUCCUAAACGGUAACGGAGGCGUACAAAGGUUUCCUCUGAACGGUUAGAAAUCGUAUCUAGAGUGUAAAGGCAUAAGGAAGCUUGACUGUGAGACCUACAAGUCGAGCAGGGACGAAAGUCGGUCUUAGUGAUCCGACGGUACUGAGUGGAAAGGCCGUCACUCAACGGAUAAAAGUUACUCUAAGGAUAACAGGCUGAUCUCCCCCAAGAGUUCACAUCGACGGGGAGGUUUGGCACCUCGAUGUCGGCUCAUCGCAUCCUGGGGCGGUAGUACGUCCCAAGGGUUGGGCUGUUCGCCCAUGAAAGCGGUACGCGAGCUGGGUUCAGAACGUCGUGAGACAGUUCGGUCCAUAUCCGGUGUAGGCGUUAGAAUAUUGAGAGGAGCCUUCUUUAGUACGAGAGGACCGAGAAGGACAUACCUCUGGUGUACCAGUUAUCGUGCCAACGGUAAACGCUGGGUAGCUAUGUAUGGAGUGGAUAACCGCUGAAAGCAUCUAAGUGGGAAGCCCACCUCAAGAUAAGUAUUCUCA
rnacentral:rRNA from 1 species